GAUGAACGCUGACGGAAUGCUUAACACAUGCAAGUCAACUUGAACUGCGGUGUGGGUGGCGGACGGGCGAGUAACGCGUAGAGAACUUGCCUCACAGUUAGGGACAACAUUUGGAAACGAAUGCUAAUACAAGAUAUGAUGAUAUUAGGGCAUACUAGAAGUAGGAAAGCUAUAUGCGCUGUGGGAGGGCUUUGCGUCCAAUUAGCUAGUUGGAGAGGUAAGGGCUAACAAAGGCGAUGAUGGGUGGCCGGCCUGAGAGGGUGAACGGCCACAAGGGGACUGAGACACGGCCCUUAUUCCUACGGGAGGCAGCGGUGGGGAUUAUUGGACAAUGGACCAAGAGUCUGAUACAGAAAUUCUGUGUGGAAGAUGAAGUUUUUCGGAAUGUACAGUGCUUUCCGGUGAGAAGAAAAAAAUGACGGUACCAACAGAAGAAGUGACGGCUAACUACGUG
rnacentral:rRNA from 1 species